rnacentral:rRNA from 1 species
CCCUUAGAUGUCCUGGGCCGCACGCGCGUUACACUGAUGCAUUCAACGAGCUUAUAACCUUGGCCGAGAGGCCUGGGCAAUCUUGUUAACGUGCAUCGUGAUAGGGAUAGAUUAUUGAAAUUAUUAAUCUUGAACGAGGAAUUCCUAGUAAACGCAGAUCAUCAAUCUGCAUUGAUUACGUCCCUGCCCUUUGUACACACCGCCCGUCGCACCUACCGAUUGAAUGUUUCGGUGAAGAUUCCGGAUAGGACUUUUUUGAUUUAUUUCAAUUUUGUCUUAAAAGCUAUCUAAACCUCAACAUUUAGAGGAAGGUGAAGUCGUAACA